GGAGCACUGACCCUCUGUGUCUCUAGGUGUGAGGAGCACUGACCCUCUCCUCUGUGUCUCUAGGUGUUGAGGAGCACUGACCCUCUGUGUCUCUAGGUGUUGAGGAGCACUGACCCUCUGUGUCUCUAGGUGUUGCGGAGCACUGACCCUCUGUGUCUCUAGGUGUUGAGGAGCACUGACCCUCUCCUCUGUGUCUCUAGGUGUUGAGGAGCACUGACCCUCACCUCUGUGUCUCUAGGUGUUGAGGAGCACUGACCCUCUCCUCUGU
ensembl:lncRNA